UACGGAGGGUGCGAGCGUUGUCCGGAAUCACUGGGCGUAAAGGGCGCGUAGGCGGCUCGGUAAGUAGGGGGUGAAAUCCUGCGGCUUAACCGCAGGGCUGCCUUCUAAACUGUCGAGCUUUGAGCACGGUAGAGGCAGAUGGAAUUCCCCGGUGUAGCGGUGGAAUGCGUAGAGAUCGGGAAGAACACCAAUGGCGAAGGCAGCUCUCUGGGGACGGUACUGACGCUGAGACGCGAAAAGCGUGGGGAGCGAACGG
rnacentral:rRNA from 1 species